GUGGUUGGUAAACUGUGAACCAGUACUUAGUGUCUAUAGGGAAGAUCUAAAGAACGCUUUCACAGUGGGGAUCGAACCCGUGACCUCCUGGUUGCUAGGCGGACACCAUAUCCUUUACGCCACAGCUACCUCAGGGUUUGGGGUAACGGUACAGUUUGUCAAGACACCAAACGCAAAGCCUAUCCCAAGGCAAUGCCCCAUUUGCGUGGUAAAAGGCAACACGACUGUGUACCUCCGGGUAACAGACCACGUUCGCUGGGUGCAAGCGCUGACGGCAGACCCCAUGAAGCCGUUGAUGUCAGAGGCACGUGCUAAGACCGGUCGGAAAGUGAAGAAGAUAAAGCCGAGGAAUUACUACUCUUGCUGGCUGUGCGACCGGUCGGUGAUUGACCUGCUGCGUCAUCUAGAACAGGAGCACAAAAUGGAGGCUGGGACAUUCAAUUUUGUUUACACAAGAGGGCCGUUUCCGGAAAGUCGCGAAAACUUCAGGAAAGGUGACCAGCAGACUCGCCACUCAUGAUGACUCGGCAUAGGAGGAUGAGAAGGUGGAGGAUGAGGAGGAGGAGGAAGAGGACUUUUCAUUCCUAAUGCCGAAAUACUGCCUGAGCCUGGAACCCAAUGCAAGGGUGAUGCAUGGUCGGAGAAGCUGCAAUUUCAAUCGUUGACUCAUAUGUAGACUACAUGUUCCUGCGGAGCAGGCCAGGUGGGUUGGCAAACGAGUCGAAAACACAAGAGGUCAACAUGAAGAUCAACCGGUUCCUGGCCCUGUCUGGCUACUUGGAAGGAGUGGUGUUGAGUGACAUGCUGUUGUGGAUGGGCCAUAUGGAGGUCCACGACAGUUCCUCAACACCACUCACCAGCUGAAGACGGUGCGGAAUGCACUAACGGCAAUCAAGAACUUCCUGAAGUGGUGCGAGGGAAUGGUCUAGCGGACGCCCGCACAUUGAACAAUGCUUCCUGACCUCAACCUGCCUGGAUAAGAGCCGUCGCGAGGUUGUUCGGAGGGUAGAGGAGAGUGCGGCCAUCCUGACGGACGCAAACCUGGAGCGCCACUUCACUGAGAGUGAGCAUGUAGUGAAAACGAUCAAGGUGAUCCAGGAGCCCCCAGCUGGCACACCUGAAAGAUAUUCGGGGAAUAAUCAUUAAACUGAUAGCGCUCUAUAAUGCCUCCUGAACUGGCAAGUGUACCUAGAGAUUGAGCUGGAGACAGUGAAGGUGCUGACCUCUGUGUGGAACACUUAGAAGCUGGCAAGUUUUCAUAUUGAAGGGUAUGGUUCCCAACCGCCCAUCACACACAGAAUGAAGCUUGUCGUCUUCCGCAGUAAA